GAUGAAUGCUGGCGGCGUGCCUAAUACAUGCAAGUCGAGCGAACAGACGAGGAGCUUGCUCCUCUGACGUUAGCGGCGGACGGGUGAGUAACACGUGGAUAACCUACCUAUAAGACUGGGAUAACUUCGGGAAACCGGCGCUAAUACCGGAUAAUAUCUUGAACCGCAUGGUUCAAUAGUGAAAGACGGCUUUGCUGUCACUUCUAGAUGGAUCCGCGCCGCAUUAGCUAGUUGGUAAGGUAACGGCUUACCAAGGCAACGAUGCGUAGCCGACCUGAGAGGGUGAUCGGCCACACUGGAACUGAGACACGGUCCAGACUCCUACGGGAGGCAGCAGUAGGGAAUCUUCCGCAAUGGGAGAAAGCCUGACGGAGCAACGCCGCGUGAGUGAUGAAGGUCUUCGGAUCGUAAAACUCUGUUAUUAGGGAAGAACAAAUGUGUAAGUAACUAUGCACGUCUUGACGGUACCUAAUCAGAAAGCCACGGCUAACUACGUG
rnacentral:rRNA from 1 species